UACGGGGGGGGCAAGCGUUGUUCGGAAUUACUGGGCGUAAAGGGCUCGUAGGCGGCCAACUAAGUCCGACGUGAAAUCCCCAGGCUUAACCUGGGAACUGCGUCGGAUACUGGAUGGCUUGAAUCCGGGAGAGGGAUGCGGAAUUCCAGGUGUAGCGGUGAAAUGCGUAGAUAUCUGGAGGAACACCGGUGGCGAAGGCGGCAUUCUGGACUGCAACUGACACUGAAAGACGAAAGCCAGGGGAGCAAACGGG
rnacentral:rRNA from 1 species